GGGAGUAGCUCAACUGGUAGAGCACCAGCCUUCCAAGCUGGAUGUCGCGGGUUCGAGCCCCGUCUCCC
rnacentral:tRNA from 1 species